GACGAACGCUGGCGGCGUGCUUAACACAUGCAAGUCGAACGAAGAGCGAUGGAAGCUUGCUUCUAUCAAUCUUAGUGGCGAACGGGUGAGUAACGCGUAAUCAACCUGCCCUUCAGAGGGGGACAACAGUUGGAAACGACUGCUAAUACCGCAUACGAUCUAAUCUCGGCAUCGAGGAUAGAUGAAAGGUGGCCUCUACAUGUAAGCUAUCACUGAAGGAGGGGAUUGCGUCUGAUUAGCUAGUUGGAGGGGUAACGGCCCACCAAGGCGAUGAUCAGUAGCCGGUCUGAGAGGAUGAACGGCCACAUUGGGACUGAGACACGGCCCAGACUCAUACGGGAGGCAGCAGUGGGGAAUCUUCCGCAAUGGACGAAAGUCUGACGGAGCAACGCCGCGUGAGCGAUGACGGCCUUCGGGUUGUAAAGCUCUGUUAAUCGGGACGAAAGGCCUUCUUGCGAAUAGUGAGAAGGAUUGACGGUACCGGAAUAGAAAGCCACGGCUAACUACGUG
rnacentral:rRNA from 1 species